AGGUGCUCUGGGCCCCCAGCCCAGCCCUCUUCGAGUGGGCUUCCUCCCUGGAUGGGCCCUGAGCCAGGCCAGGGGGGUUGCAGGGCUGGGCACAGGCUCUGAGUGCAGGCCUAGUGAGACUCUGAGCGCAGCAGCCCUCACCACGCACACAGUCAGGCUGGCCUGAAGCCCUGGAAUCCUGGCCAAGACGGGAAAGAGCCACAAAGCGCUUGCAACUGGAUCCACCGGGCACCACCAACUCAGCAGGAGAUAAGGAAAGCUCUCCGGCCUUGACCUGCGUGUCUCCAUCCUUUGGCUCCCAGCUCGAACACCGCCUCUUCCAGGAAACCUGCUACAACCCUCACGGGCUCCGAGCCCCG